CCUACGGGAGGCAGCAGUGAGGAAUAUUGGUCAAUGGGCGGAAGCCUGAACCAGCCAAGUCGCGUGAGGGAUUAAGGCCCUGCGGGUCGUAAACCUCUUUUGCCGGGGAGCAGAGGUCCGGACGUGUCCGGGCCGGGAGAGUACCCGGAGAAAAAGCAUCGGCUAACUCCGUGCCAGCAGCCGCGGUAAUACGGAGGAUGCGAGCGUUAUCCGGAUUUACUGGGUGUAAAGGGCGUGUAGGCGGGAAAGCAAGUCAGAUGUGAAAACCAUGGGCUCAACCUGUGGCCUGCAUUUGAAACUGUUUUUCUUGAGUACUGGAGAGGCAGACGGAAUUCCUAGUGUAGCGGUGAAAUGCGUAGAUAUUAGGAGGAACACCAGUGGCGAAGGCGGUCUGCUGGACAGCAACUGACGCUGAGGCGCGAAAGCGUGGGGAGCAAACAGGAUUAGAUACCCCAGUAGUC
rnacentral:rRNA from 1 species